rnacentral:rRNA from 1 species
AUUGAACGCUGGCGGCAUGCCUUACACAUGCAAGUCGAACGGUAACAGGUUAAGCUGACGAGUGGCGAACGGGUGAGUAAUAUAUCGGAACGUGCCCAGACGUGGGGGAUAACGUAGCGAAAGCUACGCUAAUACCGCAUACCAUCUACGGAUGAAAGCGGGGGAUCGCAAGACCUCGCGCGAUUGGAGCGGCCGAUAUCAGAUUAGCUAGUUGGUGAGGUAAAGGCUCACCAAGGCGACGAUCUGUAGCUGGUCUGAGAGGACGACCAGCCACACUGGAACUGAGACACGGUCCAGACUCCUACGGGAGGCAGCAGUGGGGAAUUUUGGACAAUGGGCGCAAGCCUGAUCCAGCAAUGCCGCGUGCAGGACGAAGGCCUUCGGGUUGUAAACUGCUUUUGUACGGAGCGAAACGGUCUUCUCUAAUACAGGGGGCUAAUGACGGUACCGUAAGAAUAAGCACCGGCUAACUACGUGCCAGCCGCCGCCGUAA